AUGUGUUUGUUGAAACUCUUGAGUCAAAGAAGCAAUUCCAGAAGGAAAAUUCUCUUAAAAAGUCUGAAAACAAAUCAAUAAGUUGGAAGUACUGGAACUUAGAUUCAAGUAAAGGAAAACCUUCUAAUAAGAUGCUAGGGGCAACUGGCUAUGGAGUUGCCUAGAAUAUUAUACUUGAGCUUGUUGCUCGGUUGUGUACGUCUGGACACUUCAAAAGGAAGAAACGGCCCUUCUUCGCGAUGAUCAAGACUGGAGUGCUUACAAGGAAAUUGUGCUAUUGUAUGAUGAAUUCAACAACUUCCACCUUGAGGACAAGGUGGAUUUUGGGGCGGCGGGUAUUGAUAGGCUCCUAGCCACCCCCACCCAUUCUAGAAGGACCCAGAAGAAGAAAAACGUGCAUGUGGGUGGCAAUACCAAAAUCUGUUAGAGAGGGGAAAUUGGAGGGAAAGGUCCGUUAGAAGUUGGCUAUAAAUAUAGGUAGAAAUUAGCCAUAUUGGUAGGCAAAUAUUGGUAGUAAAGUCAGGAG
rnacentral:lncRNA from 1 species